rnacentral:lncRNA from 8 species
CUGAGCUAAAUUGAGUCUCAUAGCAAAGGGUCUGAAUACUUCUGUAAAUAAGGUAUUUCUGUUUUAUUGUUAAUACAUUUGCAAACAUGCCUAAAAACCUGUUUUUGCUUUGUCAUUAUGGGGUAUCGUGUGUAGAUUGAGGAAAAACAUUUAUUCAAUAAAUUUUACAAUAAGGCUCUAAUGUCACAACAUUGGUAAAGUCAAGGGGUCUCAAUACUUUUACAUUAAAAGACCCAACUCUGCUGUUUUUAUUUCAAUAUAAAAUCAUUUCUGGGUAAAAUUAAGUACCUUACUACAAUUGAUUUCUAUUAAAAUGGGGGGGGGGCUUCAGCAAGAAUUUUGCUAGGACUGUCUGGGAGUGGUCUGAGCGGGGAGGGGUAAACUCAGUGUUAGUUUCAUCAGCUGUUGUACAAUGUGAUAAACACAGGCAGAACAUAAUUUUGACUGCACUGGGCCUUUGAACAUAUUUGGCCCAUGCAGGAAUCAAAUCUAAGAUUUGUGCUCUAAACACCAUGCUCCAACCAACUGGGACAUUGGAGGCCCCAUAUGCUGGCUGGUGGCUGUCGGUCUGGUAACUCGGGCGGUUGUCAUAAAUGGCAGCUCUCCCAAUGGACCUACUGAUGUGACACACUGACAGGAGGGGCAGACGUGGCAGCCCGUGUGGUGGGGAGUUGGAGACCCUGUGUGUGUUUACGGAUGGAGAGGAGACUGGAUGGGGGACUGGUUUUCUCCUGACAGACGUCUCUCAUAAUCGUGCUCUCUCGAUGAAGUGGGUCGUGAAAUACAUAGUUCUCCUGUGCUUUCCCAGCAUUCAUUGUGUCUGGGAAGCUUUCCGUGAUAGACAGGGACACUUGAAAAGGAAGAUUUAAAAAAAAAACACACCAAUUUGAAUUCACAGAAACAUUACGGAGGAGUUUGAACACAGACUAGACACGUAACUCCUUCAAAAUAUUAAACAUGAUCUUAACCCUCCAACCUCAAGUCCAGAUCACCAGCUAGCAUCGUCCUUGUAGUAAAAACAACAAUGACAACAUUCAU